AGAGUUUGAUCCUGGCUCAGGACGAACGCUGGCGGCGUGCCUAACACAUGCAAGUCGAACGGAGAACUCAAUAAGCUUGCUUAAAGAGUUUUUAGUGGCGGACGGGUGAGUAACGCGUGGAUAACCUACCCAUGAGAUCGGGACAACCCUUGGAAACGAGGGCUAAUACCGGAUAAUCUUAAGUCUUGGCAUCAAGGUUUAAGGAAAGGUGGCCUCUGAAUAUGCUACCGAUUAUGGAUGGACCCGCGUCUGAUUAGCUAGUUGGUGGGGUAAAGGCCUACCAAGGCGACGAUCAGUAGCCGGCCUGAGAGGGUGAACGGCCACACUGGGACUGAGACACGGCCCAGACUCCUACGGGAGGCAGCAGUGGGGAAUCUUCCGCAAUGGA
rnacentral:rRNA from 1 species